AAGUCGUAACAAGGUUUCCGUAGGUGAACCUGCGGAAGGAUCAUUACCUUUCUGGCCAUUUAAUAGCUUGUCUGGGGCUGGCAGUUUCUUGCAGUCUCUGACUACAUCCGUGUUUUUGCGUACUAUUAUGUUUCCUCGGCGGGCUUGCUUUCGGCCGGGUUGGACGAAAUGCAUAAAACUCUUUGCAAUUGCAAUCAGCGUCUGAAUUAUAUAAUAAUUACAA
rnacentral:misc_RNA from 1 species